rnacentral:rRNA from 1 species
CCUACGGGAGGCAGCAGUGGGGAAUAUUGCACAAUGGGGGGAACCCUGAUGCAGCGACGCCGCGUGAGCGAUGAAGGAUUUCGGUAUGUAAAGCUCUUUUAGCAGGGAAGAAAAUGACGGUACCUGACUAAGAAGCCCCGGCUAACUACGUGCCAGCAGCCGCGGUAAUACGGAGGGAGCAAGCGUUAUCCGGAUUUACUGGGUGUAAAGGGAGUGUAGACGGGUGUGCAAGUCUGGAGUGAAAGGCAUGGGCUUAACCUGUGGACUGCAUUGGAAACUGUGCGGCUUGAGUGUAGGAGAGGCAAGUGGAAUUCCUAGUGUAGCGGUGAAAUGCGUAGAUAUUAGGAGGAACACCAGUGGCGAAGGCGGCUUGCUGGACGAUGACUGACGUUGAGGCUCGAAAGCGUGGGGAGCAAACAGGAUUAGAUACCCUAGUAGUC